UACGUAGGUGGCAAGCGUUGUCCGGAAUUACUGGGCGUAAAGCGUGCGUAGACGGUUACAUAAGUCAGAUGUGAAAGCCCCGGGCUCAACCUGGGAAUUGCAUUUGAGACUGCGUAGCUAGGGUGCGGAAGAGGGAAGCGGAAUUUCCGGUGUAGCGGUGAAAUGCGUAGAUAUCGGAAGGAACACCAGUGGCGAAAGCGGCUUCCUGGUCCAGCACCGACGUUCAGGCACGAAAGCGUGGGGAGCAAACAGG
rnacentral:rRNA from 1 species